GACGAACGCUGGCGGCGUGCUUAACACAUGCAAGUCGAACGAAGUGGCGAACGGGUGAGUAACGCGUAAUCAACCUGCCCUUCAGAGGGGGACAACAGUUGGAAACGACUGCUAAUACCGCAUACUGAAGGAGGGGAUUGCGUCUGAUUAGCUAGUUGGAGGGGUAACGGUCCACCAAGGCGAUGAUCAGCAGCCGGGCUGAGAUGAUGAACGGGCCAAAUGGGACUGGUGCACGGCCCAGACUCCUAAGGGGGGCAGCAGUGGGGAAUCUUCCGCCAUGGACGAAAGGCUGACGGAGCAACGCCGCGUGAGUGGUGGCGGCCUUCGGGUUGUAAAGCUCUGUUAAUCGGGACGCGGUACCGGAAUAGAAAGCCACGGCUAACUACGUGCCAGCAGCCGCGGUAAUAC
rnacentral:rRNA from 1 species